AGCAGCCGCGGUAAUUCCAGCUCCAAUAGCGUAUAUUAAAGUUGUUGCAGUUAAAAAGCUCGUAGUUGAAUUUCGGGAUCAGUGGGUCGGUCGUGCCACUGGUAUGCACUGGCCCUACUGGUUCCUCCUUCUUGAAGAACUGUAAUGCCAUUAAUUUGGUGUUGCAGGGAAACAGGACUGUUACUUUGAAAAAAUUAGAGUGUUUAAAGCAGGCAAUCGCUUGAAUACAUUAGCAUGGAAUAAUGAAAUAGGACGAUCGAUCCUAUUUUGUUGGUUUCUAGGAUUGACGUAAUGAUUAAUAGGGAUAGUUGGGGGCAUUAGUAUUCAAUUGUCAGAGGUGAAAUUCUUGGAUUUAUUGAAGACUAACUACUGCGAAAGCAUUUGCCAAGGAUGUUUUCAUUAAUCAAGAACGAAAGUUAGGGGAUCGAAGACGAUCAGAUACCGUCGUAGUCUUAACCAUAAACUAUGCCGACUAGGGAUCGGAUGAUGUUAAUUUUUUAAUGACUCAUUCGGCGCCUUA
rnacentral:rRNA from 1 species